UGCGAAGGGGGCUAGCGUUGCUCGGAAUCACUGGGCGUAAAGCGCACGUAGGCGGAUUGUUAAGUCAGGGGUGAAAUCCUGGAGCUCAACUCCAGAACUGCCUUUGAUACUGGCGAUCUUGAGUCCGGGAGAGGUGAGUGGAACUGCGAGUGUAGAGGUGAAAUUCGUAGAUAUUCGCAAGAACACCAGUGGCGAAGGCGGCUCACUGGCCCGGUACUGACGCUGAGGUGCGAAAGCGUGGGGAGCAAACAGGG
rnacentral:rRNA from 1 species